rnacentral:tRNA from 1 species
CAGGGAUUAGUUUAAUUUAAAAUAUUGGUUUUGGAGACCAGAGAUAGAAGUUAUUUUUAUCCUUGA